rnacentral:lncRNA from 1 species
AAAGGAAGCAAAGGUCGAAGUUCAUCCGCGGCCCUGAGGCCUGUGGGAAACGUAGUCCAACAACGAAAGAGCCCUGAAGCUCAAGCGGAGCCCGCUGGCCGCAGGGGCCGCACCACGCCCCAGACCCUGGAGUUUCCGGGUGCGCAGACCCUUGCCAUCAGCAGAGGCUGCCGCUGCGCGUCCCCUAGGCGCGGAAGAGGCGGCUGGUGGUCCCUGACGGCAAGGUGAAGUCGAGGCAGUAAUCGGGAACCCAGGUUUUAUACAUUACGAAUAAAGCUGGCACGUUUCCAUUUCUCCUGGGCAAAUAUUUAGAAGAAAAGUUGCUGGGUAAUUGAAGCACUGAGACCACAGAGGCAAGAGCUGGGGAAGGAAAACUGCCCAUGAGAUGAGAUGUGCCUCUCAGCUUCCAAAAUCGGGGAGGGUUGCAAAGGGAUGACACCAUCCACACCAGAACUGCAUGAAUGGCAUCAGGAAUGAUCAGAGACCAUAAAUUCCAGUGAGACCAAUAACACCAUUUCUGGUCCUGCAUGCUCUUCCAAACUUUGCCACUAACCCCUUCAAGAGGUACAGUCUAUUUCCCUUUCUCUUGAAAUUGAGAAAUGACACUGUGUAUCUAACAAGGCUAGGUUAGAAAAGGCAACAGAACUUCAUCCUAAUCUCUCUCAAGAUGCCCCCCAUGGAAUCCAGCCAUCAUGCUGUGAGGAAUCCAAGCAGCUACAUAGAAAGGCCACAACUAGAUAUUCCAGCUGUAGUCAGCUGAAGCUCCAGCCAACAGCCAACAUCAACCACCACACGUGAAAACGAGCAAGCCUUCAGAUGAUUCCGACUCCCAACCUCCAAGCCACCUCAGCUGAAGCCAAGUAGAGCAGAGACUAGCUGUCCCCCAAUGCUCUAAUAUGCAGAUUCAUAAUUAAAAAGAAUGUUAUUGUUCUAAGCCAUGAAGUUUUGGGGUGGUUUGUCAUGCAGCAACUGGAACUGCC